rnacentral:rRNA from 1 species
UGAGGAAUAUUGGUCAAUGGGCGCAAGCCUGAACCAGCCAUGCCGCGUGCAGGAUGAAUCAUCUAUGGUGUGUAAACUGCUUUUGUAUUGGAAGAAACCACCCCUCGCGUGGGGUAUUGACGGUACCGUAAGUAUAAGGAUCGUCUAAUUCUGUGCCUGCAGCCGCGGUAAUACGGAGGAUCCAAGCGUUAUCCGGAAUCAUUGGGUUUAAAGGGUCCGUAUGCGUGUCUGUAAUUCAGUGGUGAAAUCUCCCCGCUCAACGGGGAAACUGCCAUUGAUACUGCAAGUCUUGAAUUAUUGCGAAGUAACUAGAAUAAAUAAUAUAGCAAUAAAAAGAUUAGAGAUUACAUGGAAUACCGAUUGCGAAGGCAGGUUAAUAACAAUGGAUUGACGCUGAUGGACGAAAACGUGGGUAGCGAACA